UAGUUAUGUACUUGGCUUAGUUAGAUUGGAUCUAUAUACAUGCUUUGGAUCGUAUAGCGUUUAUCCAUCAGAUCCAUGGGUAAAUGAUAGAUAUUGUGUAGGCGUGGUGCUUAUACCGUAUUUAUCUUCCAUAUGCACUUCCCCUGAGAGAAGGUACGCCAUUAUUUUACUGACCCUAACUAUAUCGUUGAAGAAUCUAAGCAGGUGAGGAAACGACGCAACCGCAACCAGAUGAGGCAAAUCAUCAAGGACGGAUGGGCAGACUAUGAAGGAGAAGUUGUAAGGUCAGAAGACGUAGAGUUUAAAGAGAACUAUCCAGAGGAGACUGAAGCACCGAGUCAGGUAUGGAAAGAGAAGAUAAUUACAUAAAGAGGAGGCGCUGCCGGAAGUACCGACUCCGCCACCCAACGAACCUCAGGACAAUUGAGAAAAUGGAGAGUCCCAUUCGGAGGACUUAAAAACACCGAACGCCUUGCCAAGACGUAAACUUGGUAGUUAUCCUUUCCCUUUCAAUUAUUUAAAAUAGUUUGCUUAGUUACUUAUGUUCAUGCUAUCCUAAAAAGAAAAUAAAAAUGUGAAAAACAGUAAGCCCCAUGUGAGUAGACGAGUGGCAUAAAACCCAUAAGUACAUUCACUGUGGUGGCAUAAAAAUAAAAUAAAUAUUUCAUUUCUGCUUUAUAAAAUGAAAAUAUAAAAACAGGGAGUAAUAUUUAUUGAGGAGUCUCAACAUGAUAAAGGCUAGAUAUUUAUGCUAACACUUAAUCAGUUCCACAAGCUUUGUUGUCUAUUUGAGCUCCACAGAAUUCAAGAAUCAAGAAGACUAGCAGACGAAGGACAUUCUAAUCGCUGUCAGAAUGCUGCUGACUUUCAAAUACACCUCUGCCACCUGCUAGCUACAUCAAGAGAAAUUAUGUCAAAAUUCAGCUUGGGGGAGAGCACCCCCAUUUAUACCGAUAAGUAUUUCUAUCUAUCUAUCUUUAUACUUAUACUAUAUUAAAAUAUAAAUAUACAUAAACUAGGAAAAACCAAAUAAAUAUUUUGUGCUUAUAUAUAUCUUUUGCUUAGUAUGUUUAAUAAAUAAAUAAAGUGGCUAUGCUAAUCUGUAUCUAAAUAAAACUCAAGCAUGGAUAUGAUGAAUAGUUGCUCUGCCUAAUUUGCAAAUUUUAAGUUCUCUCUCAAGUUUAGACAUAAUUGUUAUAAUUUAAAGCUUGCUCUAGACCUAAACUUGUGGGAUGAAAACUUGAUCUGAAGUCUAAGUUGUUAACGGAUAUGAUAUGGGAAGGUUGAGCUGUUGUUUAUCUGUUCCUAGAGAUGCUAGAAUUCUGGAGAAUUUUAUCUUUGAAAAUCUUUAAAAUGUUGCAUGAUGAGUUCCUGUAUGAUGAGAGUUUAAAUUCCUACCACAGCCAUAUAUACAUGCUUGCUAGACUUUGAGCCACACAUUUACUAUUUACUGCUUAUGAGCAUUGAGUGUGGUCAAGCUGUGUAGACCCUUAGGAGUUUGUCAUGUGGUUAAAUCAAGAUUUCACUUGCACGUUCACUCAUAUAUGCUACUUCUACUCCGGAAGUAUCAUUCACAUAUAUCCACCCAUUUCCAUCUCCAGAACCACCCAAAAAUAUUCUACUCCUAACCCGGGAGAGAAUAGACAAAAAUAUUUCUGUUUUUCCUUUAUGAAAUAAAUGCUCAAGUUAUCUUGUUACUACCGCUUGCUAUAUUAUCUCAAGAGAUGAGUGCUCUAAAAAAAAGAUACGAGGAAAUAAAAAGGAGCAAGUGCUCGGAACCUCGAAAGAAACGAAAAAAGUGAGACGAGAGGUAAAAAUGGACAAGUGUCCGACAGUAGAAUUAGGGGUACAAGAUACCCACGUGAGAGAAAAGAAAAAGAAGAGCAUCUCAUUCUCCUCAUAAAAAUUCAAAAAGCAAGGAAGGUAUGUAUCCCCUCAAAAGAGCAAAGUAGAAUUAGACUUUCACCAUUGUUAUCACCAUCAUCACCAUACACCAUUCAAUCGCCACACAUGCACAUCUUGAUUAAACUUAUUGACUUGUUUCUUUGGAUCCAUGGUUUGACUAUACAAUAAAUGUCUUGUAAGUAUGUAUACUUUAUCUCCCACCUAUGAGCUCUAGAUAUUAAAGCCUUAUUAGAGUAGGGUGAGAGAGAAGGCAAUGUCACUAUGCUUUAUACCACAAAUACUACAUAUCUUGAGAGAAGGCAUAUACCAUCACUGCCUUGGUAAGGAUCCAGAAAUACCACAAAAGAGAGAUAUGAGAGAAUCAUACAAGGAAUCUCUGAGUUUUAUUUGAAAAUCUACAAAAACUCUAGAGCUAUAGCUGAUCAAGAAUAAGAGACAUGGCACUUGGCUAGACUGUUCUAUCUUUUAACUACUCAAGACAGAAGUGACGGUUACAAGUCCCAUGGUGAAGGUAAAGUAAGUAAGUUUUAAGUCUUGACAGUUUACUCUAACUCAGAGAUGAGAUCUUAUUUUAAAAGCAUGUGUACUGUCAAUUUUUAAAGAUAUUGCAACAACUUCUAAUCCAUUGCUGAGUCUGUCCUUGCUCAGGGACGAGCAAGAGGUAAGCUUGGGGGAGUUUGUUGACGGUCCUUAAGUAUUAAAUUUAAUUAUUAAAUAAACAAAGAAAAGGAUCCAAAUGAAAUCAACAUCCAGACUUAGGGUUUUAUGUGACAGAAUUCCACAAGUUUUGGUGUUUGUCUAUUUCUGCAGGGGGUUAUCAGGAAAUACGGAAGAAAGGCCCACACGUCGGGAUUACAUAGAGAUAUUAACGUGCCGCGUAAUUAUCUUACAUCUAGAAGACUCCAGAAGCCAUGAGACCGAAGCGGAGGCGAAACGGGGCCAGAGGCGGGGCGCCCGCCCUCCUGCCCUGGGCGCCCACCCCCUCAGAGAGUCCAAUCAGGACUCUGCUUCGUGGGAGAUCUCCACCGACCUAAAGGAUCAAGGAUAACCGUUCAAUCUAAGUCGGUUUGAUCCAACGGCCCAUAUUCACUUGAAGGGACUAUAAAACCAGACCCCCUGGCCCCUGGAGGAGAGAGCCUCUCAACCCUAAUUCAUUAUUCUCAAGGGAGAAGAAGCUUCUGAUCAAGAUUAGAGCCACCACAUCAAUUAGAUAUCUAGAUUAGCAUAGCUACAUAGGAUUAGAACUAGAAGGAGUCAAUCUUUGAUUGGUUUCCGGAUCUGUCAAGAGGAUUCUUGGUAAUUCUCUAAUUGUUCUUCUAAUUAUCUUUGUUCUUCAAUAUUAUGAAUAUGACUUUGUUCUACUUCAAUAUAUUGCUUAUGACUUUGCUCUACUUGUUUAUAUUCAAGAUUAUAUUGUUCUUAGUUUAUCAUAGUUAUGUACUUGGCUUAGUUAGAUUGGAUCUAUAUACAUGCUUUGGAUCGUAUAGCGUUUAUCCAUCAGAUCCAUGGGUAAAUGAUAGAUAUUGUGUAGGCGUGGUGCUUAUACCGUAUUUAUCUUCCAUAUGCACUUCCCCUGAGAGAAGGUACGCCAUUAUUUUACUGACCCUAACUAUAUCGUUGAAGAAUCUAAGCAGGUGAGGAAACGACGCAACCGCAACCAGAUGAGGCAAAUCAUCAAGGACGGAUGGGCAGACUAUGAAGGAGAAGUUGUAAGGUCAGAAGACGUAGAGUUUAAAGAGAACUAUCCAGAGGAGACUGAAGCACCGAGUCAGGUAUGGAAAGAGAAGAUAAUUACAUAAAGAGGAGGCGCUGCCGGAAGUACCGACUCCGCCACCCAACGAACCUCAGGACAAUUGAGAAAAUGGAGAGUCCCAUUCGGAGUACUUAAAAACACCGAACGCCUUGCCAAGACGUAAACUUGGUAGUUAUCCUUUCCCUUUCAAUUAUUUAAAAUAGUUUGCUUAGUUACUUAUGUUCAUGCUAUCCUAAAAAGAAAAUAAAAAUGUGAAAAACAGUAAGCCCCAUGUGAGUAGACGAGUGGCAUAAAACCCAUAAGUACAUUCACUGUGGUGGCAUAAAAAUAAAAUAAAUAUUUCAUUUCUGCUUUAUAAAAUGAAAAUAUAAAAACAGGGAGUAAUAUUUAUUGAGGAGUCUCAACAUGAUAAAGGCUAGAUAUUUAUGCUAACACUUAAUCAGUUCCACAAGCUUUGUUGUCUAUUUGAGCUCCACAGAAUUCAAGAAUCAAGAAGACUAGCAGACGAAGGACAUUCUAAUCGCUGUCAGAAUGCUGCUGACUUUCAAAUACACCUCUGCCACCUGCUAGCUACAUCAAGAGAAAUUAUGUCAAAAUUCAGCUUGGGGGAGAGCACCCCCAUUUAUUCCGAUAAGUAUUUCUAUCUAUCUAUCUUUAUACUUAUACUAUAUUAAAAUAUAAAUAUACAUAAACUAGGAAAAACCAAAUAAAUAUUUUGUGCUUAUAUAUAUCUUUUGCUUAGUAUGUUUAAUAAAUAAAUAAAGUGGCUAUGCUAAUCUGUAUCUAAAUAAAACUCAAGCAUGGAUAUGAUGAAUAGUUGCUCUGCCUAAUUUGCAAAUUUUAAGUUCUCUCUCAAGUUUAGACAUAAUUGUUAUAAUUUAAAGCUUGCUCUAGACCUAAACUUGUGGGAUGAAAACUUGAUCUGAAGUCUAAGUUGUUAACGGAUAUGAUAUGGGAAGGUUGAGCUGUUGUUUAUCUGUUCCUAGAGAUGCUAGAAUUCUGGAGAAUUUUAUCUUUGAAAAUCUUUAAAAUGUUGCAUGAUGAGUUCCUGUAUGAUGAGAGUUUAAAUUCCUACCACAGCCAUAUAUACAUGCUUGCUAGACUUUGAGCCACACAUUUACUAUUUACUGCUUAUGAGCAUUGAGUGUGGUCAAGCUGUGUAGACCCUUAGGAGUUUGUCAUGUGGUUAAAUCAAGAUUUCACUUGCACGUUCACUCAUAUAUGCUACUUCUACUCCGGAAGUAUCAUUCACAUAUAUCCACCCAUUUCCAUCUCCAGAACCACCCAAAAAUAUUCUACUCCUAACCCGGGAGAGAAUAGACAAAAAUAUUUCUGUUUUUCCUUUAUGAAAUAAAUGCUCAAGUUAUCUUGUUACUACCGCUUGCUAUAUUAUCUCAAGAGAUGAGUGCUCUAAAAAAAAGAUACGAGGAAAUAAAAAGGAGCAAGUGCUCGGAACCUCGAAAGAAACGAAAAAAGUGAGACGAGAGGUAAAAAUGGACAAGUGUCCGACAGUAGAAUUAGGGGUACAAGAUACCCACGUGAGAGAAAAGAAAAAGAAGAGCAUCUCAUUCUCCUCAUAAAAAUUCAAAAAGCAAGGAAGGUAUGUAUCCCCUCAAAAGAGCAAAGUAGAAUUAGACUUUCACCAUUGUUAUCACCAUCAUCACCAUACACCAUUCAAUCGCCACACAUGCACAUCUUGAUUAAACUUAUUGACUUGUUUCUUUGGAUCCAUGGUUUGACUAUACAAUAAAUGUCUUGUAAGUAUGUAUACUUUAUCUCCCACCUAUGAGCUCUAGAUAUUAAAGCCUUAUUAGAGUAGGGUGAGAGAGAAGGCAAUGUCACUAUGCUUUAUACCACAAAUACUACAUAUCUUGAGAGAAGGCAUAUACCAUCACUGCCUUGGUAAGGAUCCAGAAAUACCACAAAAGAGAGAUAUGAGAGAAUCAUACAAGGAAUCUCUGAGUUUUAUUUGAAAAUCUACAAAAACUCUAGAGCUAUAGCUGAUCAAGAAUAAGAGACAUGGCACUUGGCUAGACUGUUCUAUCUUUUAACUACUCAAGACAGAAGUGACGGUUACAAGUCCCAUGGUGAAGGUAAAGUAAGUAAGUUUUAAGUCUUGACAGUUUACUCUAACUCAGAGAUGAGAUCUUAUUUUAAAAGCAUGUGUACUGUCAAUUUUUAAAGAUAUUGCAACAACUUCUAAUCCAUUGCUGAGUCUGUCCUUGCUCAGGGACGAGCAAGAGGUAAGCUUGGGGGAGUUUGUUGACGGUCCUUAAGUAUUAAAUUUAAUUAUUAAAUAAACAAAGAAAAGGAUCCAAAUGAAAUCAACAUCCAGACUUAGGGUUUUAUGUGACAGAAUUCCACAAGUUUUGGUGUUUGUCUAUUUCUGCAGGGGGUUAUCAGGAAAUACGGAAGAAAGGCCCACACGUCGGGAUUACAUAGAGAUAUUAACGUGCCGCGUAAUUAUCUUACAUCUAGAAGACUCCAGAAGCCAUGAGACCGAAGCGGAGGCGAUACGGGGCCAGAGGCGGGGUGCCCGCCCUCCUGCCCUGGGCGCCCACCCCCUCAGAGAGUCCAAUCAGGACUCUGCUUCGUGGGAGAUCUCCACCGACCUAAAGGAUCAAGGAUAACCGUUCAAUCUAAGUCGGUUUGAUCCAACGGCCCAUAUUCACUUGAAGGGACUAUAAAACCAGACCCCCUGGCCCCUGGAGGAGAGAGCCUCUCAACCCUAAUUCAUUAUUCUCAAGGGAGAAGAAGCUUCUGAUCAAGAUUAGAGCCACCACAUCAAUUAGAUAUCUAGAUUAGCAUAGCUACAUAGGAUUAGAACUAGAAGGAGUCAAUCUUUGAUUGGUUUCCGGAUCUGUCAAGAGGAUUCUUGGUAGUUCUCUAAUUGUUCUUCUAAUUAUCUUUGUUCUUCAAUAUUAUGAAUAUGACUUUGUUCUACUUCAAUAUAUUGCUUAUGACUUUGCUCUACUUGUUUAUAUUCAAGAUUAUAUUGUUCUUAGUUUAUCGUAGUUAUGUACUUGGCUUAGUUAGAUUGGAUCUAUAUACAUGCUUUGGAUCGUAUAGCGUUUAUCCAUCAGAUCCAUGGGUAAAUGAUAGAUAUUGUGUAGGCGUGGUGCUUAUACCGUAUUUAUCUUCCAUAUGCACUUCCCCUGAGAGAAGGUACGCCAUUAUUUUACUGACCCUAACUAUAUCGUUGAAGAAUCUAAGCAGGUGAGGAAACGACGCAACCGCAACCAGAUGAGGCAAAUCAUCAAGGACGGAUGGGCAGACUAUGAAGGAGAAGUUGUAAGGUCAGAAGACGUAGAGUUUAAAGAGAACUAUCCAGAGGAGACUGAAGCACCGAGUCAGGUAUGGAAAGAGAAGAUAAUUACAUAAAGAGGAGGCGCUGCCGGAAGUACCGACUCCGCCACCCAACGAACCUCAGGACAAUUGAGAAAAUGGAGAGUCCCAUUCGGAGGACUUAAAAACACCGAACGCCUUGCCAAGACGUAAACUUGGUAGUUAUCCUUUCCCUUUCAAUUAUUUAAAAUAGUUUGCUUAGUUACUUAUGUUCAUGCUAUCCUAAAAAGAAAAUAAAAAUGUAAAAAACAGUAAGCCCCAUGUGAGUAGACGAGUGGCAUAAAACCCAUAAGUACAUUCACUGUGGUGGCAUAAAAAUAAAAUAAAUAUUUCAUUUCUGCUUUAUAAAAUGAAAAUAUAAAAACAGGGAGUAAUAUUUAUUGAGGAGUCUCAACAUGAUAAAGGCUAGAUAUUUAUGCUAACACUUAAUCAGUUCCACAAGCUUUGUUGUCUAUUUGAGCUCCACAGAAUUCAAGAAUCAAGAAGACUAGC
rnacentral:lncRNA from 1 species